GGUUCUCCUCAGAAGCUAUUUAGGUAGCGCCUCGAGCGAAUACCAUUGGGGGGUAGAGCACUGUUAAGGCUAGGGGGUCAUCCCGACUUACCAACCCUUUGCAAACUCCGAAUACCAAUGAGUACUACUCGGGAGACAGACGGCGGGUGCUAACGUCCGUCGUCAAAAGGGAAACAACCCAGACCGUCAGCUAAGGUCCCAAAGUGUAUGUUAAGUGGGAAACGAUGUGGGAAGGCUUAGACAGCUAGGAUGUUGGCUUAGAAGCAGCCAUCAUUUAAAGAAAGCGUAAUAGCUCACUAGUCGAGUCGGCCUGCGCGGAAGAUGUAACGGGGCUAAACAUACCACCGAAGCUACGGGUGCAAUUCAUUAGAGUUGCGCGGUAGAGGAGCGUUCUGUAAGCCGUUGAAGGUGAAGGGGUAACCCACACUGGAGGUAUCAGAAGUGCGAAUGCUGACAUGAGUAACGAUAAAGGGGGUGAAAAACCCCCUCGCCGAAAGACCAAGGGUUCCUGUCCAACGUUAAUCGGGGCAGGGUGAGUCGACCCCUAAGGUGAGGCCGAAAGGCGUAAUCGAUGGGAAACAGAUUAAUAUUUCUGUACUUCCGCUAACUGCGAUGGAGAGACGGAGAAGGCUAGGCUAGCGCGGCGUUGGUAGUCCGCGUUUAAGGUGGUAGGUGGGUGACUUAGGCAAAUCCGGGUCACUAUACACUGAGAGCUGAUGACGAGUCCCCAAGGGGAUGAAGUAGUUGAUGCCAUGCUUCCAGGAAAAUCUUCUAAGCUUCAGGUUAGCGGGAAUCGUACCCCAAACCGACACAGGUGGUCGGGUAGAGAAUACCAAGGCGCUUGAGAGAACUCGGCUGAAGGAACUAGGCAAAAUGGUACCGUAACUUCGGGAGAAGGUACGCUCUUGUUGGUGAUGAGACUUGCUCUCUAAGCUGACGGGAGUCGCAGAUACCAGGUGGCUGCAACUGUUUAUCAAAAACACAGCACUGUGCAAACUCGCAAGAGGAAGUAUACGGUGUGACGCCUGCCCGGUGCCGGAAGGUUAAUUGAUUGGGUUAUCGCAAGAGAAGCUCAUGAUCGAAGCCCCGGUAAACGGCGGCCGUAACUAUAACGGUCCUAAGGUAGCGAAAUUCCUUGUCGGGUAAGUUCCGACCUGCACGAAUGGCGUAAUGAUGGCCACGCUGUCUCCAGCCGAGACUCAGUGAAGUUGAAAUUGCGGUGAAGAUGCCGUAUACCCGCGGCUAGACGGAAAGACCCCGUGAACCUUUACUAUAGCUUGGCACUGAACAUUGACCCUACAUGUGUAGGAUAGGUGGGAGACUAUGAAGUUGGAACGCUAGUUCUGAUGGAGUCGUCCUUGAAAUACCACCCUUGUAGUGUUGAUGUUCUAACUUGGCCCCAUUAUCUGGGGUAAGGACAGUGCCUGGUGGGUAGUUUGACUGGGGCGGUCUCCUCCCAAAGAGUAACGGAGGAGCACGAAGGUUGGCUAAGUACGGUCGGACAUCGUACGGUUAGUGCAAUGGCAUAAGCCAGCUUAACUGCGAGACAGACACGUCGAGCAGGUACGAAAGUAGGUCAUAGUGAUCCGGUGGUUCUGAAUGGAAGGGCCAUCGCUCAACGGAUAAAAGGUACUCCGGGGAUAACAGGCUGAUACCGCCCAAGAGUUCAUAUCGACGGCGGUGUUUGGCACCUCGAUGUCGGCUCAUCACAUCCUGGGGCUGAAGUCGGUCCCAAGGGUAUGGCUGUUCGCCAUUUAAAGUGGUACGCGAGCUGGGUUCAGAACGUCGUGAGACAGUUCGGUCCCUAUCUGCCGUGGGCGUUGGAUGAUUGAGGGGAGUUGCUCCUAGUACGAGAGGACCGGAGUGAACGAACCGCUGGUGUUCGGGUUGUCAUGCCAAUGGCAUUGCCCGGUAGCUAUGUUCGGAAUCGAUAACCGCUGAAAGCAUCUAAGCGGGAAGCGAGCCCCAAGAUGAGUCAUCCCUUGGACUAUAAGUCCACUAAAGAGCCGUUCGAGACUAGGACGUUGAUAGGUCAGGUGUGUAAGCGUUGUGAGGCGUUGAGCUAACUGAUACUAAUGACUCGAGAGGCUUAACC
rnacentral:rRNA from 1 species